ACUCCUACGGGAGGCAGCAGUGGGGAAUUUUCCGCAAUGGGCGCAAGCCUGACGGAGCAAGACCGCGUGAGGGAGGAAGGCUCUUGGGUUGUAAACCUCUUUUAUCAGGGAAGAAGAUCUGACGGUACCUGAUGAAUCAGCAUCGGCUAACUCCGUGCCAGCAGCCGCGGUAAUACGGAGGAUGCAGGCGUUAUCCGGAUUUAUUGGGCGUAAAGCGUCCGCAGGUGGUUUUUCAAGUCUGCUGUUAAAGCGCAGAGCUUAACUCUGUAACGGCGGUGGAAACUGAGAGACUAGAGUAUGGUAGGGGUUGCGGGAAUUCCCAGUGUAGCGGUGAAAUGCGUAGAUAUUGGGAAGAACACCAGCGGCGAAAGCGCGCAACUGGGCCAUUACUGACACUCAUGGACGAAAGCUAGGGGAGCGAAAGGGAUUAGAUACCCCUGUAGUCCUAGCUGUAAACGAUGGGUACUAGGUGUUGACCGUAUCGACCCGGUCAGUGCCGUAGCUAACGCGUUAAGUACCCCGCCUGGGGAGUAUGCACGCAAGUGUGAAACUCAAAGGAAUUGACGGGGGCCCGCACAAGCGGUGGAGUAUGUGGUUUAAUUCGAUGCAACGCGAAGAACCUUACCAGGGCUUGACAUGUCGCGAAUCUCGGUGAAAGUCGAGAGUGCCUUCGGGAGCGCGAACACAGGUGGUGCAUGGCUGUCGUCAGCUCGUGUCGCGAGAUGUUGGGUUAAGUCCCGCAACGAGCGCAACCCUCGUUUUUAGUUGCCAGCAUUUAGUUGGGCACUCUAGAGAGACUGCCGGUGACAAACCGGAGGAAGGUGGGGAUGACGUCAAGUCAGCAUGCCCCUUACGUCCUGGGCUACACACGUACUGCAAUGCUUCGGACAAAGGGUUGCGAGCUAGCGAUAGCAAGCUAAUCCCGUAAACCGAGGCUCAGUUCAGAUUGCAGGCUGCAACUCGCCUGCAUGAAGGAGGAAUCGCUAGUAAUCCCAGGUCAGCAUACUGGGGUGAAUACGUUCCCGGGCCUUGUACACACCGCCCGU
rnacentral:rRNA from 1 species